CGCGAAUAGCUCAUUACAACAGCUAUAAUUUACUUGAUCUUGACACAAUCCUACUUGGAUAACUGUGGUAAUUCUAGAGCUAAUACAUGCAUUAAAGCUCUGACCUCACGGGAAGAGUGCAUUUAUUAGAACAAAACCAAGCGGCUUCGGCUGUUUCUGGUUGACUCAUAGUAACUGAGCUGAUCGCAUGGUCUUGCACCGGCGACGUGUCUUUCAAGUAUCUGCCGUAUCAACUUUCGAUGGUAGUGUAUCUGACUACCAUGGUGAUCACGCGUAACGGAGAAUAAGGGUUCGACUCCGGAGAGUUCGCCUGAGAAAUCGCGAACACAUCUAAGGAAGGCAGCAGGCGCGAAAAUUACCCACUCUCAGCACGAGGAGGUAGUGACGAAAAAUAACGAGACCGUUCUCUUUCGAGGCCGGUCAUCGGAAUGGGUACAAUCUAAACCCUUUAACGAGUAUCUAUGAGAGGGCAAGUCUGGUGCCAGCAGCCGCGGUAAUUCCAGCU
rnacentral:rRNA from 1 species